GGCUGCUAGGUUUGGGCGGAUAGCCACAGAGAGGAGACGAAGAAGGAACAUUUGGGACUGUGGAAAGUUGAAAUGGUCUCUUUGCAGGCUGCCGGGGUUUAGACUGGUCAAGUUCCCAGGGCCCAGAUAGAGCCGGAACGUACCACGCGACGAUCCCUGAGCCACCGGGGGUUCCGCGCCAAGGAAGCCGGGCUUGCCAGGUGGGUACGGCUGGCAGGGCGGGGCUUCUCAGGGUCCGCCCCACGCCCAGGUGAGCGCUCGCGACCCGCGCGGGCAGAGAGAAUGCGCCCCCGCAGUGCUCGCGAGGUGCAGGGUGCUCCUGGCUCCGGGACCGUCGGGCCAGAUCGGCUUGGCGCGCUGGGACUGGCCGGACGGGCUGGGCUUUUGGCGGGGGUGGAAGAGGAGGUUGCCGCGCCCUGCCCGGCCCAGGUGUCGUCUCCGGGGGCGGGGUUUGGAGCCCUGCAGCGGGAGAUCCCCGGCGGGACUGGCUGGCGGGCGUCGAGAGACUGAAGCCGAGGAGAGCAGGCGAAGCCGGGCGGUGCAGAGAGGCGCAGGGCGCAGGCGAAGUCGCAAGGCCGCCAGCAUGUUCUCCCGUAACCACCGGAGCCGGGUCACGGUGGCCAGGGGCUCCGCCCUGGAGAUGGAGUUCAAACGCGGCCGCUUCCGACUCAGCCUCUUCAGCGACCCGCCGGAGGACACAGAGUUGCAGAGGAAGCUAGACCACGAGAUCCGGAUGAGAGAAGGGGCCUGUAAGCUGCUGGCAGCCUGCUCCCAGCGAGAGCAGGCUCUGGAGGCCACCAAGAGCCUGCUGGUGUGCAACAGCCGUAUCCUCAGCUACAUGGGCGAGCUGCAGCGGCGCAAGGAGGCGCAGGUGCUGGGAAAGACAGGACGGCGGCCUUCUGACAGUGGCCCGCCCGCUGACCGCUCCCCCUGCCGCGGCCGUGUCUGCAUCUCUGACCUCCGGAUUCCACUCAUGUGGAAGGACACAGAAUAUUUCAAGAACAAAGGUGACUUGCACCGCUGGGCUGUGUUCCUGCUGCUGCAGCUAGGAGAACACAUCCAGGACACAGAGAUGAUCCUGGUGGACAGGACCCUCACAGACAUCUCCUUUCAGAGCAAUGUCCUCUUCACUGAGGCGGGGCCAGACUUUGAACUGCGGUUAGAGCUGUAUGGGGCCUGUGUGGAAGAAGAGGGGGCCCUGACUGGCGCCCCCAAGAGGCUUGCCACCAAACUCAGCAGCUCCCUGGGCCGCUCCUCAGGGAGGCGUGUCCGGGCAUCGCUGGACAGUGCUGGGGGUUCAGGGAGCAGUCCAAUCUUGCUCCCCACCCCAGCUGUGGGUGGUCCUCGGUACCAUCUCUUGGCUCACACCACACUCACCCUGGCAGCAGUGCAAGAUGGAUUCCGCACACAUGACCUCACCCUUGCCAGUCAUGAGGAGAACCCUGCCUGGCUGCCCCUUUAUGGUAGCGUGUGUUGCCGCCUGGCAGCUCAGCCUCUCUGCAUGACUCAGCCCACUGCAAGUGGUACCCUCAGGGUGCAGCAAGCUGGGGAGAUGCAGAACUGGGCACGAGUGCAUGGAGUUCUGAAAGGCACAAACCUCUUCUGUUACCGGCGACCUGAGGAUGCCAACACUGGGGAAGAGCCACUGCUUACUAUUGCCAUCAACAAGGUGAUGGGUCCCUUGGUAGUGAGGCCACCAAGGGCAUGGGCCCAGGAGCCUCUCCUUCAGGCCCCAGGAGGGUGGGCACUUACCUCAGAGAUAGAAGCAGGCCUCCUGCUCCUGACAGCACCACAUCCAGCAUCACUGCGUGAGGAUCGUCCCAUUUACUUGCCAUCCUCAGUCCCUGCCAAGUCUCAGAGAGGGUUCUCCUGCCUGCCAGUUCAGGGUUUUUCAUCCUCUCUCCCUCAGAUUCCAAUUUGUAUUGAUUUUACCACUUCUCGUUUCCCUCCAAGUCCAAUUGCCCUUCUUUGCUCCCUAUCCCUUUCAUUGGCUUUCCUGCCUAUUUUUGGCAGUUCUGAGGGACCUCUGGCUGGAGCAUACUUGCAUACCUCUGUGUCUUCCCUGCCUUGCUCAAUUCCUUUUUCCGUGUCUCAAGCUGCUCCUCCUCCCCUGACUCAGGACUGGCUGUCUUAUCCCCAGCCCUUUUUUUGCCAUUCCUUCCUAGUCUGGUCAGUAGGAAGCAAAUGACAGGGCUCAGCAAAAGCCCCCAAGCUCAUCCUUCUAAGGCAGGAGUGAUCAAGGCUGCCUGAUGUCACUGCCGACUUCUGUGACCAAAGUAGACCUCUUCUUUCUCCUGCAGGAAACUCGAGUCCGGGCAGGGGAGCUGGACCAGGCUCCAGGACGGCCCUUCAGCCUAAGUAUCAGUAACCAAUAUGGGGAUGACGAGGUGACACAUACCCUUCAGACAGAAAGUCGGGAAGCCCUGCAGAGCUGGAUGGAGGCUCUGUGGCAGCUUUUCUUUGACAUGAGCCAGUGGAAGCAGUGCUGUGAUGAAAUCAUGAAAAUUGAAACUCCUGCUCCCCGGAAACCACCCCAAGCACUGGCCAAGCAGGGGUCCUUGUACCAUGAGAUGGCUAUUGAGCCGCUGGAUGACAUCGCAGCGGUGACAGACAUCCUGACCCAGCGGGAGGGCGCAAGGCUGGAGACGCCCCCACCCUGGCUGGCAAUGUUUACAGACCAGCCUGCCCUGCCUAACCCCUGCUCGGCUGCCUCAGUGGCCCCAGCCCCAGCCUGGACCCAACC